rnacentral:rRNA from 1 species
GUCGAGCGGUAGAGAGAAGCUUGCUUCUCUUGAGAGCGGCGGACGGGUGAGUAAUACCUAGGAAUCUGCCUGAUAGUGGGGGAUAACGUUCGGAAACGGACGCUAAUACCGCAUACGUCCUACGGGAGAAAGCAGGGGACCUUCGGGCCUUGCGCUAUCAGAUGAGCCUAGGUCGGAUUAGCUAGUUGGUGAGGUAAUGGCUCACCAAGGCUACGAUCCGUAACUGGUCUGAGAGGAUGAUCAGUCACACUGGAACUGAGACACGGUCCAGACUCCUACGGGAGGCAGCAGUGGGGAAUAUUGGACAAUGGGCGAAAGCCUGAUCCAGCCAUGCCGCGUGUGUGAAGAAGGUCUUCGGAUUGUAAAGCACUUUAAGUUGGGAGGAAGGGCAUUAACCUAAUACGUUAGUGUCUUGACGUUACCGACAGAAUAAGCACCGGCUAACUCUGUGCCAGCAGCCGCGGUAAUACAGAGGGUGCAAGCGUUAAUCGGAAUUACUGGGCGUAAAGCGCGCGUAGGUGGUUUGUUAAGUUGAAUGUGAAAUCCCCGGGCUCAACCUGGGAACUGCAUCCAAAACUGGCAAGCUAGAGUAUGGUAGAGGGUAGUGGAAUUUCCUGUGUAGCGGUGAAAUGCGUAGAUAUAGGAAGGAACACCAGUGGCGAAGGCGACUACCUGGACUGAUACUGACACUGAGGUGCGAAAGCGUGGGGAGCAAACAGGAUUAGAUA